CUCUGUUAACUCUGCUUGUCAUUGCUCAUGCUGCUGGGAGUCCCCACGCCCCCCAAAACAUCACCUGGCAGAUCACAGACACCAGCUCAGGGACAAUACUUAAUCAGACCUCCCAGAGCCAAUCCAGGGACACUUGGUUCCCAGAACUUUGUGUAAACCUGCAAACUCUGUUCCCCUUGUCACCAUAAAUGCAGCCGGUCCCAUGAUUGGGUCCGUAAGCUACAUGACAAGGGGGGAAUGAAAGGGCGGGCCUAAGCCAGCCGACUCCAUCUUGUUCUGUGUCCUUCACCUUGACCACACCUCCUCCCCUUGAGCAACCCCCUCCCCCACCUGCCUAACAGAACUCGGACCCUUUCCCAGCCAAUCAGCUGAGGCCAUAGCCAUUACCUCACCAACUGCCCCUAGGCCCCAAUAAAACCUUUGUGCUUUUGAAACUCGCUCUCUCUUCCUGGUAUCUCACCGCUGCGUCGGUGCAGCCAAUAUUCCCCAAAUCCCUAUGCCUCACACAGUCACUGAUGUGAUUUCUAUCUCUCUGGAUUCACUUCUCUACAGAUAGUCUCUCCUUCGUGGGAAGCCAGAUGCCAUGAAAUGAGGCCACUCAAUUCAACAGCAGGCUGUGGAGGGGUCCAUGUGUCAAGGAAUGGAGGCCUGUCAACAACCAAGUGAGAGAGCUCAGACAUGGCUUCUUCAGCCCCACGGGAGCCUAGAGAUGAUUCUAGAUCCAGCCGAGAGCUGGACAGCAACCUCGAGAGAGACCCUGAGCCAGAACCACCCAGCUGAGCCUCUCCCAGAUAGCAUACCUUCAGAAUCUGUGAGAUAAUACAUAUUUGUUCUUCUGAGCUGCUAAGUUUUUAGGUAAUUUGUUACACAGCUGUGGAUAAGUAAUAUCCAUUCAAACCACAAUAACUGUACUUCAAACCCCAAAUCUGGAUAUCAUAUUCAGGGCAUGUGGCUAGAUAUAGAGACCUGAGUUCAAGUUGGAAACCACAGUUUUCAGAAAGGAUGCAAUACCAGAAUUCUUUCCCCUGGUUCCCAAGCCCAGGUGAGAUUAUGUGCAAUGCCAUAGGCUACUUCUACUCCAAACAAAACUAAGUCCUUCUGUUCUUUCUCAUGAUUGAAUGAUUUUUACCAACACCUCUUAUCUCUCUCUGAGUUCUCAAUCCUCUCCAUCCUAUAGCUACUUGUUUACAUUAUUCUUUCUGCCUCUAAGAUUCUCAAGGUGGGAAGAAGCUCAUGUAGACCAACCC